AAUUAUUGGGCGUAAAGAGCUCGUAGGCGGUUUGUCGCGUCUAUCGUGAAAGUCCGAGGCUCAACCUCGGAUCUGCGGUGGGUACGGGCAGACUAGAGUGAUGUAGGGGAGACUGGAAUUCCUGGUGUAGCGGUGAAAUGCGCAGAUAUCAGGAGGAACACCGAUGGCGAAGGCAGGUCUCUGGGCAUUAACUGACGCUGAGGAGCGAAAGCAUGGGGAGCGAACAGGAUUAGAUACCCUGGUAGUCCAUGCCGUAAACGUUGGGCACUAGGUGUGGGGGACAUUCCACGUUUUCCGCGCCGUAGCUAACGCAUUAAGUGCCCCGCCUGGGGAGUACGGCCGCAAGGCUAAAACUCAAAGGAAUUGACGGGGGCCCGCACAAGCGGCGGAGCAUGCGGAUUAAUUCGAUGCAACGCGAAGAACCUUACCAAGGCUUGACAUGUGCCAGACCGCCGUGGAAACACGGUUUCCCCUUUGGGGCCGGUUCACAGGUGGUGCAUGGUUGUCGUCAGCUCGUGUCGUGAGAUGUUGGGUUAAGUCCCGCAACGAGCGCAACCCUCGUUCUAUGUUGCCAGCACGUGAUGGUGGGGACUCAUAGGAGACUGCCGGGGUCAACUCGGAGGAAGGUGGGGACGACGUCAAAUCAUCAUGCCCCUUAUGUCUUGGGCUUCACGCAUGCUACAAUGGCCGGUACAAUGGGUUGCGAUACUGUGAGGUGGAGCUAAUCCCA
rnacentral:rRNA from 1 species